GCAGUGAAUGGGAGCGAUAGUUGUAACAUCCGAAUGUCUAGUAUUAUGGCUAUGUAUUCCAGUAACUGAUUGUAGUACAAGACAGUUGAGACAUUGAGGGAUAUUUUGGAAGAACGUUUUGUGGAAAUCAAUUCGUGUAUGUUGAUGUCUACGUUCAAUUAAUUUGUUCCAGCCUACUUCCAUGCUUGUCAGUCUGGUUGCACCAGAUACAAUCCGAGCUGCCUCAGUAUUAAUUGGUUCCAGUUUAGCACUAUAUUCAUCGACCACUUUGGUGGUGUUUUUAUUUUGACUGAAGAGCGAUUCCUGUAGUAGUUGGAUUAAUAACUGAAGGGUUUUCAGUCAUAUAACCACGUAAGGAAGAAAGGAAAUAUAUCGGAAAGUGAACUGUAAUGGAUUCACGCUAAAUGGAGAAACUCUUUUUUCUCGAGUUGACGACUGUGCAUCGGGUUGUCGACUCGGGCUCUCAGUCAUAGAACUGAUUUCAACUUCAACACGAUGCUGGAUAAAAGAUGGGGAAAAAACGUUCCGAAGAAAAAACUAAAUUUUGUCAUCUGAAGUGGAGUUACAUCGAUUUUUUUCAAGAGUGUCAAUGAUCUGUUCUAAAGUUCUCUAUAUGAAGUUAAUUGAACAUUUUAUUUCCAUUGGUUUAUGGAAUUUCAAAAUCUAUGUUUGCGGCUAAUUUUUCGGUUUGACAUUAUGAGAGAGCAUUUUCGAACAUGGAAAAACAACCCAUUAAAAAAAUGAGAAAAAAGCAAAAUCAUUUAAUCAGUAACUUGGACUAGUUACUUAUAACAUUUGGUUUCAAAUUGUGUAAAUUCGGAAAAAAAAUGCAGAUAAAGAGAAUAUAAUAAAUUUUGUCAUCUUGAAAUGAUUGGAACGUGGGAGAAAGAUGAUACAAAGUGAGGCGGAAUGUCAGAAUUGUUAUUCUGAAUUAAUAUACUUACGAUUUGAAAUCAACUCGAAAACAUCACCGGAAACAAUAAGGACAAAACGCAUGCAGUCAUUAUCAUUUUCGUCACACUGGAGUCAUAAUAACAGUCUACUUUCGGACUUUUGGUUUUUGUAUUAUCAAUAUACUGUUCUUUCUGCAUGCGAGGUAAACUCAUCCAUAUAAGAUCAGGGAAAAAUUGGUAUUUUGAAAAAUAAUGAAAAAUAAAAAUAUCGUCAGAAUGUA
rnacentral:lncRNA from 1 species